AGAAUCAACGCUGGCGGCGUGCCUAACACAUGCAAGUCGAACGAGAAAGUGGAGCAAUCCAUGAGUAAAGUGGCGCACGGGUGAGUAACACGUGACUAACCUACCCUUGAGUGGGGGAUAACCUAGAGAAAUCUGGGCUAAUACCGCAUAAUACCUUCGGGUCAAAGGAGCAAUUCGCUUAAGGAGGGGGUCGCGGCCGAUUAGUUAGUUGGCGGGGUAAUGGCCCACCAAGACUGUGAUCGGUAUCCGGCCUGAGAGGGCGCACGGACACACUGGAACUGAAACACGGUCCAGACUCCUACGGGAGGCAGCAGUGGGGAAUUUUGCGCAAUGGGGGAAACCCUGACGCAGCAACGCCGCGUGGAGGAUGAAGCCCUUGGGGCGUAAACUCCUUUCGAUCGGGAAGAUAAUGACGGUACCGAGAGAAGAAGCCCGGCUAACUUCGCGCCAGCAGCCGC
rnacentral:rRNA from 1 species